ensembl:lncRNA
UACAUAAAACAAAGAGUGAUUCUCAUAGAUACAAUAUCUAAAGUUAUUUACACAUACUGGCUUCUCUUACCAUUAAAUUACACAUUGAAAACAGGUUCUCUUUCAAUAUAUCUCUUUAAAUGACUCGUAGCUACUCAUGUGAAUCUGCUCCUUUUAGUUUGUCAAGGACCAAAUGCAGUCACUGAAACAGUGCUCAUGAAACACCUCUCUCAGGAUGCUCUCGCUUUAUUCUGUUUUUCAGACUCAUUUUUAGUUGCCAUCUCACCUGCCCUCUCCUCUUUUUCCUUAAGGAAAAGUUGCCCGAUACCGCUGGGAAAGCCUCUUCCCAGCCCUGCCUCCAGGUAAGCCCGCAGUUUUGUCUCCUCUUCCAGUCUGACAACACACUGCUUUACACAAACCUGGAUAAAUGCUGACCCUGCACCAACAACCAGCAGCACACAGUGCCCAUUCCCUGGUUUUCCAGGAAACCCUGCAAGGGCACACGUGGGAUCUGCAGCAUCAGGACCGGCACUAUCCCAAUCACCCAAGACACCGCAAUCCCACCGGCAUCAGCAGAGUUUCAUCCCUGCUGCCGGCCUCUCCAUCCCUCCCACUGCUCAGCACCACAGCUCGCUCCUCAGCUCAGGAAUACACCACCAAAGGGCAGGAAUGAGGAAGGGAAAAUGGAAAACGAGAAGGAAAAAAGAUGGGGGAAAAGCAGCCACCCCCAUCCCCACACUGGGACACGUCUCAACAAGAGGCAUCUUCAGCAGCAUGGCCAGCAAAAGCCAAAUCUCACCUCGGGUUAAGCCGCAAUGAGCAUGUACUACAAGCUCCACCAUGGUGGAAAUUAAGAGCACGUGCUUUAAUACCUCGAGUACUCCUCCAACUGCAGAGGCCACGGCUGCAACUGGAAUUAUUUUUAGCCAAUGAGUUAUCUGAUGAAUUUCGCUCUAUUUUUGUCCCUUGCUCGGGAAGGAGGUGCCAGGUUUGGUCACCUACAGCCGUGCCCGGCGGUAGCUCCUGGCAGGCAGAGAGAGCCGGUGCCCGUGCCAUACAGGAUGGCAGCACUGCUGCACCCACUGCCCCAGCCGAGCCUCAGCAAGCACCAGGUCCCCUUCCCAACACCCAAAGGGACAGUCCCUGGGGACCUGGGUGCCCGGUCCCCUCCUCGGCUGCGGCAAUGGGCACGGCCCUGACUCAUCUAUGGAAGCUCUUCCCUGUGAGGGUGCUGAGGCGCUGGCACAGGCUGCCCAGAGAAGCUGUGGCUGCCCCAUCCCUGGCAGUGUUCAAGGCCAGGUUGGACACAGGGGCUUGGAGCAACCUGCUCUAGUGGAAGGUGUCCCUGCCUGUGGCAGGGGGUUGGAGCUGGAGGAGCUUUAAGGUCCCUUCCAACACAAACCAGUCUGGGAUUCUAUGGCCGGGCACGUGCCAGGACACUUUCACGGUCUUCACGGGCUCUAGCCAAGUAAUUAAGGUAAUCAAGAACCAAGUAAUGCCCCAAAACAGCAAAAAUCCCUUCCAGUGAACACAUCUUGCCAUCACCGAUGCCACGCAGCCGCCUCUGCCCUACACAGACCAGCCCGACGACAGCCACCGCUCGAGUGAACUGCGACCAAAGAGCUCUGAACCCUCGGAGCUGAUGCCCCAGCUCUCUUAAACAUCCAACCGACCCCUCGCCCUGAUUUAAGGUCAUUCAUUCUCGUCCAUCACCCAGCACAGACUCACGUGAACACCAGCCUCCUCUCUGGAAUGCCGCGGGAUAACGGGGAAACUUAAACCCAGCAAAUCGAGGGGGGUUUCUGCACUUGGAGAUGGUCCCGCCAGCGCCUGGAAUCACCGUGCUGGGAACAGAGGCUGCACAGUUGAGGGAAGCUGGUUUGCCUUUAUUAUGAAAAACAGAAUAAAGCUGAUCCUGCUUGAAAGGAACUGCCGAUUCUAUACAUGUACGGAGCAGAGAUUCUGUGGAAUGUCAGAAGUUGGAGAAACAUGUAUUUAAUAAAUAAUAUAAAAUGCUUUUUCUUCUGUUAAAAUAGAAUUCUGGGGUUUAUACCUACAGAGCAUAGCGACCUUUACAUAAACAAAAUAAAGCUGAGUCUGUGGGGAUUAGUUUAACACAAAAUAAAAAUACAAUUUAACAAUAGUAUUAAAACAGCCGAUGUUCAGUCCACACAAUAUGUACACCAUGGAAUAGAAAUCAACAGAAAACAAAAGGAGAUCACCUGGAAAUUCCUCAGACAUUUGGAUAUACAUCUGUUCUCUGUAUACUUUAGAUAUUUUCCUUUGUUUUUUACAAUAUUAAAAUUAAUACUAUGCUUUUCCAAAAUACACUUCUCAGAUUUUUUUUCAUUUGUAGAAUUGACUCAUUCCUUAUAUUAAUCAACACAACUAGAAUUAUUUACUUUCUACUGUACACUUCAAAAUAGUCCUUCCUCCACCCCAGC